UACGGAGGGUGCAAGCGUUGUCCGGAAUCACUGGGCGUAAAGGGUGUGUAGGCGGACUUGUAAGUCAGAGGUGAAAGCCCCCGGCUUAACCGGGGAAUUGCCUUUGAUACUGCAGGUCUUGAGUCCUGGAGAGGUCGCUGGAAUUCGUGGUGUAGCGGUGAAAUGCGUAGAUAUCACGAGGAACACCAGAGAAGAAGUUGGGCGACUGGACAGGUACUGACGCUGAGGCCCGAAAGCGUGGGGAGCGAACAGG
rnacentral:misc_RNA from 1 species